rnacentral:snRNA from 1 species
GUCCCUCGGGGACAUCCGAUAGAAUUGGCUCGAUACCAAAAAUAUUAAUUAGCAUGAUUCCUGCACGAGAAUGACACGCACAAAUCAAGAAACUCUAUAGGAAAUU